GUGACGAGCCGAAGCGCUGUAUUCUUCUUAGCCGCUUCCGCCUGAUGGACAGCACUCCUCCUCCCAUGCUGUCGGUCACUAUCGAAGCCCGGCGCACUCUCCCGCGCCGGGCUUCUGC
rnacentral:sRNA from 1 species